rnacentral:rRNA from 1 species
GGCAUGCCUUACACAUGCAAGUCGAACGGCAGCACGGAGCUUGCUCUGGUGGCGAGUGGCGAACGGGUGAGUAAUAUAUCGGAACGUACCCAGGAGUGGGGGAUAACGUAGCGAAAGUUACGCUAUACCGCAUACGACCCAAGGGUGAAAGUGGGGGAUCGCAAGACCUCAUGCUCAUGGAGCGGCCGAUAUCUGAUUAGCUAGUUGGUGGGGUAAAGGCCUACCAAGGCAACGAUCAGUAGCUGGUCUGAGAGGACGACCAGCCACACUGGAACUGAGACACGGUCCAGACUCCUACGGGAGGCAGCAGUGGGGAAUUUUGGACAAUGGGGGCAACCCUGAUCCAGCAAUGCCGCGUGAGUGAAGAAGGCCUUCGGGUUGUAAAGCUCUUUUGUCAGGGAAGAAAAGGUCGCAGCUAAUAUCUGUGGCUCAUGACGGUACCUGAAGAAUAAGCACCGGCU